UACGUAGGGUGCAAGCGUUAAUCGGAAUUACUGGGCGUAAAGCGUGCGCAGGCGGUUUUGUAAGACUGUCGUGAAAUCCCCGGGCUUAACCUGGGAAUGGCGAUGGUGACUGCAAGGCUAGAGUUUGGCAGAGGGGGGUAGAAUUCCACGUGUAGCAGUGAAAUGCGUAGAGAUGUGGAGGAACACCGAUGGCGAAGGCAGCCCCCUGGGUCAAGAUUGACGCUCAUGCACGAAAGCGUGGGGAGCAAACAGG
rnacentral:rRNA from 1 species